rnacentral:rRNA from 1 species
CCAACAGGGAUUGCCUCAGUAACGGCGAGUGAAGCGGCAACAGCUCAAAUUUGAAAUCUGGCUCCCUGGGGAGCCCGAGUUGUAAUUUGCAGAGGAUGUUUCGGGCGCGGCGCCGGUCUAAGUCCCUUGGAACAGGGCGUCAUAGAGGGUGAGAAUCCCGUCUGUGACCGGCGACCAAGCCCAUGUGAAACCCCUUCGACGAGUCGAGUUGUUUGGGAAUGCAGCUCAAAACGGGUGGUAAAUUUCAUCUAAAGCUAAAUACCGGCUGGAGACCGAUAGCGCACAAGUAGAGUGAUCGAAAGAUGAAAAGCACUUUGGAAAGAGAGUUAAAAAGUACGUGAAAUUGUUGAAAGGGAAGCGCUCGCCACCAGACCUGUCCCCGGGCGAUCAGCGGCGGUUCUCCGCCGUGCACUCGUCCGGGAUCAGGCCAGCAUCGGUUCGGGCGGUCGGAUAAAGGCCGCGGGAACGUAGCUCCCCUCGAGGAGUCUUAUAGCCCGCGGUGCAAUGCGGCCCGCUCGGACCGAGGACCGCGCUUCGGCUAGGAUGCUGGCAUAAUGGUGGUGAGCGACCCGUCUUGAAACACGGACCAAGGAGUCUAACAUCUAUGCGAGUGUUUGGGUGUCAAACCCAUGCGCGGAAUGAAAGUGAACGGAGGUGAGACCCCGAAAGGGCGCAUCAUCGACCGAUCCAGAUGUCUUCGGAUGGAUUUGAGUACGAGCAUAGCUGUUGGGACCCGAAAGGUACGCCGAAGCAUUUCUUUUGUAUUCCCCUCGCCUCUCCGUGUCCCCGCUAACAGAUCGUCCAGAUGGUGAACUAUGCCUGAAUAGGGUGAAGCCAGAGGAAACUCUGGUGGAGGCUCGCAGCGGUUCUGACGUGCAAAUCGAUCGUCAAAUUUGGGUAUAGGGGCGAAAGACUAAUCGAACCAUCUAGUAGCUGGUUCCUGCCGAAGUUUCCCUCAGGAUAGCAGUAACGUUUUCAGUUUUAUGAGGUAAAGCGAAUGAUUAGAGGCCUUGGGGUUGUAACAACCUUAACCUAUUCUCAAACUUUAAAUAUGUAAGAAGUCCUUGUUACUUAGUUGAACGUGGACAUUUGAAUGCACCGUUACUAGUGGGCCAUUUUUGGUAAGCAGAACUGGCGAUGCGGGAUGAACCGAACGCGAGGUUAAGGUGCCGGAAUGUACGCUCAUCAGACACCACAAAAGGUGUUGAUUCAUCUAGACAGCCGGACGGUGGCCAUGGAAGUCGGAAACCGCUAAGGAGUGUGUAACAACUCACCGGCCGAAUGAAUCAGCCCUGAAAAUGGAUGGCGCUCAAGCGUGCUACCCAUACCUCGCCGCCAGGGUAGAAACGAUGCCCUGGCGAGUAGGCAGGCGUGGGGGUCCGUGACGAAGCCUUGGGAGUGAUCCCGGGUCGAACGGCCCCUAGUGCAGAUCUU